rnacentral:rRNA from 1 species
AUAUAAAAAAUUAUUAAAUUUUAUAGUUAUAUUUUUAUAUUAAUUAAAAAAUUAGGUAUUUUAUUAUUUAAAUUAAAAAAUUUAUUUAAUUAUAGUUUAUAGUAUUGUGAAAGAAAUUUAUUUUAUAUUUAAAAGAAAAUUUUAUUUAUUGUACCUUGUGUAUCAGGGUUUAUUAAAAAAUUAUAAUUAUUUAUAGUUCUCGAAUUUAUAAGAGUUAAUUUUUAAUAUAUUUUAUUGUAGAAUAAAUAUUUAGAAUUAAAAAUUAGUAAUGAAACGUUAUUCGUUUUUAAAUAUAUCUAGUUUUUUAAGAAAUAAAUUUAAUUUAUUGAUUAGUUAUUAUUUUUAUAUUUAGUUAUUAUAAUAAUAUUAAUUAAAAAUAUUUUUGGGGAUAAGCUUAAAAAUAAAAUAUUAAAAAGUAUAUUUUUAUUAAAAUAAUUUAUAGGAUUAGAAAUUUCUAUUAUUAAAAUAAUGUUAUAAUUGAUUAUUUAAUUUUAAUAUUUAUAUUAAUUUUUAAAUUUUUUAUUAAAAUAUUAAUUUUAAUUUUUAAAAUUAAGAAAUAAUGAUAAAAUUAGUAUAAAAUUAUUUAUUUUUAAAUUGAUUUUUAAGGUAAUAUUAAGGAAUUCGGCAAAUAUUUUUUCCACCUGUUUAUUAAAAACAUGUCUUUUUGAUUAUAAUUUAAAGUCUGGCCUGCCCAAUGAUUAAUUGAAUGGCCGCAGUAUUUUGACUGUGCAAAGGUAGCAUAAUCAUUAGUUUUUUAAAUGGAAGCUAGAAUGAAUGGUUUAAUGAGAAAAAAGCUGUCUCAAUAUUAAAUUUUAGAAUUUUAUUUUUAAGUUAAAAAGCUUAAAUAAUUUAAAAAGACGAGAAGACCCUAUAGAGUUUUAUAUUUGUUUGUAUUUUUAUUUUAUAGAUUUUAUUUAUAUUAAUAUGAAUAAAUAUUUUAUUGGGGUGAUAUUAAAAUAAAAUAAACUUUUAAUUAAUAAAAACAUUAAUUAAUGAUUAAAUGAUCCUAUUUUUUAGAUUAUCAGAAAAAAUUACCUUAGGGAUAACAGCGUAAUUUUUUUUGAGAGUUCUUAUCGAAAAAAGAGAUUGCGACCUCGAUGUUGGAUUAAAAUUAAUAUUUGGUGUAGAAGCUAAAUUAUUAGGUCUGUUCGACCUUUAAAAUUUUACAUGAUCUGAGUUUAAACCGGUGUGAGCCAGGUUGGUUUCUAUCUUUUAAAUUUUAUAAUAUUUUAGUACGAAAGGACCAAAUAUU